AUGACGUCACACCCCCCGCCCGCCCUGAUGACGUCACCGAUGACGUCACCGAUGACAUCACGCACUCUGCACGCAGGUCACGUGCUCCUCGCGCAGGGGGGGGCUGGGCUGGGCGGGGGGCGGGGCCCGCGCGGGGGGCGGGGCCGGGGGGGCGGGGCCGGGGGGGCGGGGCCCGGGCUCGGCCCCUCCCCCUCCGAUGACGUUGCUGAUCAGGAUCGGGCCCUCGGCGGGGGGGGGAGGGGCGCGGGGGGGGGAGGGGCAGCCCGGGAGCGGCCCCGCCCCUCCCCCACCCCCACCCAGCGCGUGGGGGAGGGGCCCUGGGGAGAGAAGGGGGAGGGGCGCUCAGAGAGAGCCCCAAAAUUCGCCGUUCUCAGCCCAAAACUUCCGCCCGAAUCCCUCCCCCCCUCCAAAUCCGGGGCAUGGACCCCCCCCCAAAAACGGGCUAAAGCCCCUCCCCCACGAAUUUGGGGAUCCCUCCCCGGAAUUUGGGACCCCCCAAAGGAGCUCUGGGACCCCUCCCCCAAAUCCCAGCCCCAUUUUGGGACCCUCCCCUGGAUUUGGGGCCCCUCCCCCCAUUUUGGGACCCUCCCCUGGAUUUGGGGCCCCUCCCCCCAUUUUGGGACCCUCCUCUGGAUUUGGGGGCCCCUCCCCCCAUUUCCCUCCCCAAACUCGGGGUCCGCCCCCCCUUCCCCCCCCAAUUCCCCUCCCCCUCCUCACCUUCAUCCCUGCCCAGCCCCUCCCCCACCCCCCCCCUCCCCAAACCCCGCCGGGGGGAGGGGCAGGGGCAGGGGGAGGGGCUCGAACAGGGCCGGGGGAGGGGCGGCCCCUCCCCCCCUCUGCUGCUCCGGGAACGCGGGGGGGGGGGCGGGGCGGGGGUGGGGGAGGGGCGGGAGGCGCGGGGAGGGGGAGGAGGGGGGAGGGGCCUUGCGGGCGCUGCCCCUCCCCCCCCUGCGGCGGGGGGGGAACCCCCAGAGCCCCCCCCGGGCCAGGAGCAGCCGCAGCACCCGCAGCGCCCGCAGCCGCCGCCGGGGGGCGCCCUUGCGCCGGGGGGGGCCCCCCCAAAACUUCUGGGGGUUCCCCGAGUUCUGGGGGGGCCCCCAGAGCCGCCCCGCCCCCCCGCCCCCCCGGGAGUUGGUGCGGUCCGGGCCCCCCCCCGGCCCCUCCCCCCCCCCCCAGAACGGGCCGGGAGGGGGGGGAGGGGGGGGGGGACGAGGGGGGAGGGGCGGCCCCGCCCCCGCCCCCCAAAUUCGGCGGCGCCUCUUUCAUGGCGGCCUGGGGGGAGGGGAGGGUUAA
rnacentral:lncRNA from 1 species